rnacentral:rRNA from 1 species
UACAGAGGUCUCAAGCGUUGCUCGGAAUCACUGGGCGUAAAGGGUGCGUAGGCGGGUUUUUAAGUCAGAGGUGAAAUCCUGGAGCUCAACUCCAGAACUGCCUUUGAUACUGAAGAUCUUGAGUCCGGGAGAGGUGAGUGGAACUGCGAGUGUAGAGGUGACAUUCGUAGAUAUUCGCAAGAACACCAGUGGCGAAGGCGGCUCACUGGCCCGGUACUGACGCUGAGGCACGAAAGCGUGGGGAGCAAACAGG